GAUGAACGCUGGCGGCGUGCCUAACACAUGCAAGUCGAACGAGGCUUGACGGAUGAUUUCUUCGGAAUGAAACCAGAUAUGACUUAGUGGCGGACGGGUGAGUAACACGUGAGCAACCUGCCUUUCAGAGGGGGAUAACGGCUGGAAACGGUCGCUAAUACCGCAUGAUGUGUUCGGAUGGCAUCAUCUGAACAUCAAAGAUUUAUCGCUGAAAGAUGGGCUCGCGUCUGAUUAGAUAGUUGGUGGGGUAACGGCCUACCAAGUCUACGAUCAGUAGCCGGACUGAGAGGUUGAACGGCCACAUUGGGACUGGGAUACGGCCCAGACUCCUACGGGAGGCAGCAGUGGGGAAUAUUGCACAAUGGGGGAAACCCUGAUGCAGCAACGCCGCGUGAAGGAUGACGGUUUUCGGAUUGUAAACUUCUUUUCUUAGUGACGAAGACAGUGACGGUAGCUAAGGAAUAAGCAUCGGCUAACUACGUG
rnacentral:rRNA from 1 species